rnacentral:rRNA from 1 species
AAAUUGAAGAGUUUGAUCAUGGCUCAGAUUGAACGCUGGCGGCAGGCCUAACACAUGCAAGUCGAGCGGAAACGAGUUAUCUGAACCUUCGGGGGACGAUAACGGCGUCGAGCGGCGGACGGGUGAGUAAUGCCUAGGAAAUUGCCCUGAUGUGGGGGAUAACCAUUGGAAACGAUGGCUAAUACCGCAUGAUGCCUACGGGCCAAAGAGGGGGACCUUCGGGCCUCUCGCGUCAGGAUAUGCCUAGGUGGGAUUAGCUAGUUGGUGAGGUAAGGGCUCACCAAGGCGACGAUCCCUAGCUGGUCUGAGAGGAUGAUCAGCCACACUGGAACUGAGACACGGUCCAGACUCCUACGGGAGGCAGCAGUGGGGAAUAUUGCACAAUGGGCGCAAGCCUGAUGCAGCCAUGCCGCGUGUGUGAAGAAGGCCUUCGGGUUGUAAAGCACUUUCAGUCGUGAGGAAGGUGGUAGUGUUAAUAGCACUAUCA